rnacentral:rRNA from 1 species
UACAGAGGGUGCGAGCGUUAAUCGGAAUUACUGGGCGUAAAGCGUGCGUAGACGGUUAUUUAAGUCGGAUGUGAAAGCCCCGGGCUCAACCUGGGAAUUGCAUUCGAGACUGAAUAGCUAGGGUACGGUAGAGGGAAGCGGAAUUUCCGGUGUAGCGGUGAAAUGCGUAGAUAUUGGGAAGAACACCGGUGGCGAAGGCGGCGACCUGGUCCUUGACUGACGCUGAGGCGCGAAAGCGUGGGGAGCAAACAGG